GAUGAACGCUGGCGGCGUGCCUAAUACAUGCAAGUCGAGCGAACAGACGAGGAGCUUGCUCCUCUGACGUUAGCGGCGGACGGGUGAGUAACACGUGGAUAACCUACCUAUAAGACUGGGAUAACUUCGGGAAACCGGAGCUAAUACCGGAUAAUAUAUUGAACCGCAUGGUUCAAUAGUGAAAGACGGUUUUGCUGUCACUUAUAGAUGGAUCCGCGCCGCAUCAGCUAGUUGGUAAGGUAACGGCUUACCAAGGCAACGAUGCGUAGCCGACCUGAGAGGGUGAUCGGCCACACUGGAACUGAGACACGGUCCAGACUCCUACGGGAGGCAGCAGUAGGGAAUCUUCCGCAAUGGGCGAAAGCCUGACGGAGCAACGCCGCGUGAGUGAUGAAGGUCUUCGGAUCGUAAAACUCUGCUAUUAGGGAAGAACAAAUGUGUAAGUAACUAUGCACGUCUUGACGGUACCUAAUCAGAAAGCCACGGCUAACUACGUG
rnacentral:rRNA from 1 species